AUUGAACGCUGGCGGCAUGCCUUACACAUGCAAGUCGAACGGUAACAGGUCUUCGGAUGCUGACGAGUGGCGAACGGGUGAGUAAUACAUCGGAACGUGCCUAGUAGUGGGGGAUAACUACUCGAAAGAGUGGCUAAUACCGCAUGAGAUCUACGGAUGAAAGCAGGGGAUCGCAAGACCUUGUGCUACUAGAGCGGACGAUGGCGGAUUAGGUGGUUGGUGGGAUAAAAGCUUACCAAGCAGACGAUCUGUAGCUGGUCUGAGAGGACGAUCAGCCACACUGGGACUGAGACACGGCCCAGACUCCUACGGGAGGCAGCAGUGGGGAAUUUUGGACAAUGGGCGAAAGCCUGAUCCAGCAAUGCCGCGUGCAGGAUGAAGGCCUUCGGGUUGUAAACUGCUUUUGUACGGAACGAAAAGCCCCGGGUUAAUACCCUGGGGUCAUGACGGUACCGUAAGAAUAAGCACCGGCUAACUACGUGCCAGCCGCCGCAGUAA
rnacentral:rRNA from 1 species